CGUGAGGGUGGACGGUUCGCUGUGGUCGACAGUCACUCACGCAGUAGCACUGGCUUGUUACACCACAAUGGUACAAGCGUGGUUCUGCAUUUCGCCUGUCUUGACGACCUGCACCACUACAUCUGUCGUUUGGCCGACAGUCUCCGUUCAAGGGAGAAGCUCUUUGAGCUGUGUGGUGUGACGGUCAGCACGGGUGCAAGUCCAGCGCGGUCUGGUGUGUCUGUGGAGAGUCUCAUCACUGGGAUGAGCGCUGCUCCAGCACCAGAGUCUAGUGUGCUCACUGAGGCUGGGAGAAAAAGUGAGGUGUCUGCAGGCAGUUGUGUGCCUGAGUGUGGUGUCAGCAUUGCCGCAAGUCCGGCACUGUCUGGCAUUUCUGUGUUGACUUUCUCCAGCGAGGUGAGCAGUGGUUCAGCGGCAGAACCAACGGUGACCGACGGCAGAAAGCGUGUCAUUUCUUCCGGCACUUGUAUGUCGAAGAAAUCCAAGAGUUUCGAUGUCCGAGAGGUCAAUUUGGACGUCGAAUUUGUUAGCGAGGUGAGAAGCGAAGAGCUGGUCUUCCAUCCCCUCGGCUUAGAUGUUUGUCGUGCUUUAUGCACAAAGUUAAACGUCGAUUGCGCGAAGGUUGGUAGUCCGGUAGCCACAGAGGAGGGGUUGUUAGGUGUUCCUUGUAGCAAAGAGAGGAUUGUGGCCGAUGGGAACUGCUUCUUCAGAGCCAUCUCUCAGGCGGUGAGUGGUUCUCAGAAGCACCAUCGUAGGAUUAGGUUAGCUGUGUGUAAAGAGUUAGAAAGGAACACAGAUAGAUAUCAGAGUCUCUUGAGAAGUGAGUACUCCUCUGUGUUAGAGUACAUUGAGCAGUCCAGGAUGAGACGUGUCGGUAGUUGGGCCACAGAGGUGGAAAUUCAGGCGACAGCAGAUUGGUUAGGCGUUAGUGUGUUUACGUUCCAUGAUGGACGUUGGUUGAGGUAUAAUUGUAACAGUCAGCCUUUGUCGGUAGAGUGUGU
rnacentral:lncRNA from 1 species